rnacentral:rRNA from 1 species
UCGAUUAACCUGACACAAGACCGGGAUGUGUUUCGCUGGAACCUUACUACAUCAGGGUCUUUCACAGUAGACUUCAUGUACCAUGCACUCACGCAUUCUGAGGUACCGGUGAAUAAUAAUAAGAAACUAUGGAAGUCGAAGGUUCCACUAAAGGUCAAAAUCUUCAUGUGGUAUCUUCGUAGGGGAGUUGUGCUAACUAAAGACAACCUCGCACGGCACAACUGGCAAGGGAGUAAGAAGUAUUGUUUUUGUACUCAUGACGAGACAAUCAAACACCUCUUUUUUUCAAUGCAAAUUUGCAUGUUCUACGUAGUCAGUCAUCCAAAUAGCGUCAAAUUUGUAUCCGCCUACAAGUGUUGCCAAUAUUUUUGGUCAUGGUUGGACGGUAUCCCAAAUAGGUUCAAAACGUUAAUAAGGGUGGGAGCGUAUGCCUUAAUGUGGUCGUUAAGGCUAGGUAGAAAUGAUUUGAUUUUUAAUGACAAAAAUGCUUCUCCUCUACAGGUUAUUUUUUGGUGUACGCACUCGCUUUGUACGUGGUCUACGCUACAGCGAGCGGAGUACCAACUGAUGUUCAAGAUGGUGUGUACGUGA